rnacentral:lncRNA from 1 species
AUGAGAGUGCUGACAUUCAUUUUUUGUGGCCUUUGUGUCCACCGUGGCCUCUGUGUCCAUCGGGGCCUUUGUGUUUAUCGUAGCCUUUGUGUUCAUCGUGGCCUCUGUGUUCAUCGUCGUGGCCUCUGUGUUCAUCGAGGCCUUUGUGUUCAUUGUGGCCUCUGUGUUCAUCGUGACCUCUAUGAUCGCCGUGGCCUGUGUGUCCAUCGGGGCCUUUGUGUCCAUCGUGGCCUCUAUGAUCGUCGUGGUCUCUGUGUUCAUCGUGGCCUAUGUGUCCAUCGGGGCCUUUGUGUCCAUCGUGGCCUCUGUGUUCAUCGUGGCCUUUGUGUUCAUGUGUAUGUACAUGUGUGUCUAUGUUGUGAUCCCCCUGUUCACUGUUGCCUCUUUGUUCUUGGUUUUGUGAAAGCCCCAUGGAGAUGCGUUGGUGACCGUUACCGCAACCACCAGGGCGACCAGGACAACCUGCAAAAUACAAAAAGCGAUGAAAACAUGAGUUUUGAUAUCAAUUAUUUCUCUAUCAGUGCCAGUGCAUCGAAAGAAACUACCUUUACUCGCAGUUUUAUGCACGUGCUCAUUAAACUUUACUUACUUCUUAUUAUCAUUUAUUUCCCUCAAUGGGCCACUAGACAAGGUACGAAUUUCAGCAUUCUGUUACAUGUUUCUUAACCAAAAUUUUACGUAAAACACGAUACGCACAACGAAAUUACCAAAAUCAACUCCUUUCAAAGAUAUUUAAUGAUUCUUGAUGCGUUAAUUCAAACCACCCGCUCAUGAAAACUGAAUGCUCUACGUGAUUCACAUCGCGCGCUAAACGUUAUCAUGACAGUCUCUGCGAUACAAAAAUCUGGCAACCUCAAUCUUGACGCUUUGGCUCAGCUGUAGCAAAUUGCUAACAGUUUGAACAACACAUGGUGGGAAAUGAAGAUUGCUCGAUUAAGAAGCUUGCUGAAACCGUUGCAGUGCGCGAUUUGACUCAUGUAGAGCUUUGAGUUUUUUGUUAACGGGCAGUUCAAAUUCCUCGUAACCAAUGUGAAAUACAAAUGUUAAUAUCUCCGUUAGGAGUUGAUUUCAUUAGUUUUCGUUGCGCGAAUCGUGCUCUACGUGAAAUUCUGGUUAAGAAACAUGUAUUAGAAUGCUUAAAGUCGCACCUUGUCUAGUGGUCCAUUCUAGAUCUAUCAGACGAAUCGAAGCCCCAACUAACUUCCGAGCCAUGUAUUCCGCAUCUGCUGCAUUGAGCGAAGACCGUAUCAUUCGCAACGCACAAAUUGAAAAACGUGUCUACCUCAUUUAGGCGUUCGAACACCCAUGCCAGAACACUUUCUUCUCCAUUCCUUUAAAACCUGUUCCUAGAAAACUUUAAACAAAGUGGGCGAGACACAACAACCCUGCUUUAAUCUUUUGUUUACAUAACAACCCUCAUUUGGACUACAUUUUGCAAUGAUAGGAAUUACUCUGGCUCAUCCGCGAAAACACUUAAAGCUUAAGGAUACGAAUGGCUCAUAUGAUGUCUUUAAACCGAGCCAGAAUUUGUAGUUCCUAAUUUAUUGCAAAAUUUAGUCAAUUUGAACAGCAAUUACCUAACGACAAACUCUCGCAUUAGGUCACUCAUUAGAUCAUUAGACAAUCUCUUGCGUAAAGAAGAGUGACAGGUUUCACUCUACUGAAACAUUCACGCGCGUGUAGCAGAUUAUUUGUUGAUUUUUUUUUUUAAACAUCGGAUUUUUUUCUUUCUUUCUUUCCUAUUUUGUUAUUCCUCAACUAAGCAUAUACUUUUUAUAAUGAUUUGGUACACAAAAAUAUGACAUAGUUUUAACAAAGGAAACGAAGGAAACUUUGAGACUGCGAGCAAACACAUGUGUAACAUUAGAAAAGGCACUGUAGCAAAGAAAUGAUCAAAGUACAAGAUGAAAGGUUACAUUCUAAGUGAUGCGCAUGUGGACUGCAUUUUGCAUUUUGAAACUCUAAAUUCUGGCUCUUCUGGAAAAACACUGUGUUCAUAAGGAAACUAAUAGCAAAUACGUCGUUUUUAAACCGGCUAGAAUUUAUAGUUCCAAAUUGCAAAAUGUAGUCCAUUUAACAGUCUGAGGAAACCCGGGUCUACCGUUUGGCAACUCUGGUGAAGGAAUAUUUUCCAAACUUGAUUUAACUAACAAUUGGACUUUAUUUUGCAAUUUGGAACUAUAAAUUCUAGCCCGGUUUAAAAACAACGUAUGUGCCAUUAGUUUCCCUUUGCAUAUAAGUGUUUUUCCAGAAGAGUCAGAAUUUAUGGUUCCAAAUUGCAAAAUGCAGUCCAAUUAGCGUUCUCAAUAAUAAUGCUGAAAGGAUCGUUCAGGCGGCUUUAACUCUUUUUCCCUCGGGUUCGAAAAAAUGUAGACACUGAAAGGAAAGUGCCCCAGCCCCAACAUAAUUUUGCGAGACCUGUGGGAAGGGGCAUGGGCAGGGUAGGUAUCUGGAAAGGGAUGCCAUAAUCGGUGAACUGAAAUCUCCAACUUGUUUAUAAGCGAGAUUCAAUGCCUCAAAGCUAAACUAAUAAGAGAUAUCUCGGAGUGACCGUAGGGUUCGGUCAAUUUAUGCAAAAAAUUCAGUUGAUCGAAUCGAGAGGAAAUCAACCCCCACAGAGAUAAAAAAAACUUAGGUCACAAGGAACUUAGCCUCGGUUCAUUUUGAGCCUCAAAAGUUUUCGUUUCAGGUAACUGAAGUCUACGGUUGAAGGUUCAGAACGUCGGUUUAGAUAACGGAAGUCUUCGGUAAAAAGCACGAGCCUAAGUAUAAACAGCAAAAAACUGAUUUACAUAAACAGAAGUUCAACCACUAAGACUGAGAACUUCAGUUACUUGGUGCACUAACGUUACUAACUCAGUUUCUAACGUUAAUGGAAUAAUGAGGGAAAAGUAGCCUUGACACCUCUUUGCAUGGUUUAUUCUUCAACAACGCCUUUCGAUUUAAGAGGAACAUCCAUUCACAUGUUAAAAUGGUGUAACGAACAUUUUUGGUUUACAGAAAACAAAAUACCAAACUUUACAGGAAGCUUUGAAAUUUUACGAACUUUUCAACGAACAAUACCAUAAUGAAGCUUUUCAGUGAGUAAAUUAGGUUAGCUGGGCGCUGUUUAAAUUCGUAGGUAUCUUGAAGUUGCGUAAGAUUUGAUUGAACAAAAUUUAAGUUGAUCCGAUCGAAUGAAAGUUAACCCACACGGAGGGGGAUGGAAUGGUUAGGAAGACACAACAUCAGUUCAUAUGGAACGCUAAACUUAGGUUUCAGGCGGGUUUUUUCUUUUAGUUUUUGUAGUUUUUUGCCGCACGUGACGGUAUUAAAGUAUUUAAGGAAAUGUCCCGAUAUGGAAUACGUAAAUACCAAAUUUGUGCAAUAAAUAAUUUGGAGGUUGUUGAAACCAAGUUUCUUUCCCCGUGCAAUGUGACAAAAAAACACGAAAAUUUCAACUGCGUUUGAUCCCCCCCCCCCCCCCCGAUCACAUCACAUAGUGAUAUACCUGAACCGAAGUUCAAUGCCUAUGACUUAUAACUUCAGUUUCCUAGACUGAUAGUUGCUGUGCACAUUUUUUCUAUCGCUUGUGAUGGGUUUAAAAUCUUUAGGGAAAUGCCCAGAUAUGUAAACGCGUUCUCUUGAACAACAAAAUUGUUCAAGAAAAAAUAUGGAAGUUAUUGUAACGAUGUGUUUUCCCCCUGCAAAAGGAACAGCAAACACGAAAAGAAUUUUUUUCCCCCGUGUAAAGUGACCAAAAACACGAAACGAGGUUUUUCUAACCUUGCAAAGUGAUCAGAAAACACGAAAAUUUCAACCGCGUUUGAUUAUUUUUCCCUCCCGAUCACAUCAAAUGGUGAUGUACCUAAACCGAAGUUCAAUUCCUAUUACUUAAAACUUCAGUUAUCUAUGCUGAUAAAUUCAGUGUGCCUUUGUUAUGCAUCACUCGUGAUGGCUUUAAAAUAUUUGCGGAAAACCUCAGAACUGUAAACACCUUUUCCUACACAACAAAACCCCACAAUAAAAAUUUGGAAGUUAUUUAAGCGAAGUUUUUUAUCUUCCGUGCAAAGUGACCAAAAAACCCGAGAAUGUCAACCGCGUCCCCGAUCACAUCAGUUGGCGAAAACUCGAGGUUUUCAGAUUUCAAGGAAUCAUCCAGAUCAGCAGAAAGCUUUUCCUAAACAAACAAAACUUCACACCCUCCCCCCCCCCUCAAAAAAAUGCAAGUUAUCGAAGCGAAGUUUUUUUCUAUCCAUGCAAUGCGACCAAAAAAUCCGAAAAUGUUAAGCGCGUCCCUGAUCACAUCGCACUCGGCAAAAAAUCGAGGUUUUCAGAUUUCGAAGAAACAUCCAGAUCCGCAGAAACCUUUUCAUAAACAACAAAACUUAAAAAAAAAAUAAAUAAAUAAAAAAAAAAAAAAAAAGAAUUGAAAGUUUUCGAAGCGGAGUUUUUUUUUAUCCGUGGAAGGCGACCAAAAAACAGGAAAAUUUCAAUCGCGUAAGAUUUUUUUUUCCCUCCUCGAUCAUCACGGAAAAAAAGGAAAUGUUGAUUUAGUAUCGAUUUGUUAAAAACAUGUCCGACAAGUUUCAAAUGCUGAUUUUACAUUUGGAGAAAUGCUAACUUAACUACGCCCACUGUAAAACGAACAAAUUCAAAUGUUCUCUCAGCAUUUUUGUAUUGUAAAAUCAGCAUUUGAAACUUGUCGGACAUGUUUUUAACAAAUAAAUGCUAAAUCAACAUUUCUUUUUUUCCGCGCACAUCACUCUUGAGAAAUGUAAACAAUGUUCAGCACUCACCGUGAAACUUAACUUCAUUUCGAUUCGCGUGAAAUUUAUCACAAAACACACCUGAGCAGAAUCAGACCGAAAGGGUAUCUGGCGCGAACUCGGCUUUCGUUCGCUCGUGGAUCGCUCUUAUAUUUCAUGAAUGUAUUUUAUUUUAUUCUCGUCAUCAUCUACUUAAUUCCGAGCGCGCUGCAUUGCGUUACACACAGUGGCGUGGGGUGCUUUGCGAUUCAUCGAUUUAUCUGCCAUUUAAACCCACGGAAAAGGAUCGAUAUUCAGGGUGCUCGCAACGAGCAACUUAAUCGAUUCUUUACCCCAGCUUCAAAUGGGAGAAUAUCGAUAGUCGAUCACUCGCGCCACGCCACUGGUUACACAGCGGGAGGCGCCAGGAAAAUUCCGUCGCAGAACGUCCACCGGCCGGUCUUCGAUCGUAAGUAAUGGAGGAUGUCGCCAAAAAAAAAAAAACCUGUCUAAUUCUCUGCCAUGUUAAGGAAAAACGCCUUAUGAACCUUCAAACGUUGCCAAA